UAUGUUUAAAAAAAAUCGGUCCAGUCAUAGCUGAUUUUCAGCUGUUUUCUUUAUUCAAGCUAAAAACGCUCCCCACCACUUUAUUUGACAACUGACAGAAAUUUUUGUAGAAACUUUUUUGUGAGGAAAUCUUCCUAGAAUAUUAAUAUAAUAUUUUGAGGUGUACGUUAUUGGAGAUUUUUUGGCAAAAAUGCAAUUUUAAGAUUUAAAGAAGCUGUGGCGCCCUCUAUCGGUUGACCAAUGAACAUCAAAAUAAUUUUCAGCAUUUUUUUUUUGGCCACUUUUAUUACAAAAUUUUUUUUUUCAAGGCGCUACGACUAUUAGGGCCUGAGAUAUCGCCGACGUCCAUUUUUAGUUGGCCACUCGGUACAUACAUUUUUGCGUAUAUCACCUUUUAUUUUUUACAUUAAUUAAAUACAUUUUAGGUACCUGACCAAAAACAUCUUAAAUCAUAUAUCACAAUGUGCGGGCCAGAUCUGCUAUGUGUCGGUGUGGGAAAUGAAUCUCAAGAAGUACUGAAAAGAAUGGAGAGAGAAGCGACAUUUAGCUAUCAGACGCUGACUUUACCUGAGGACGAGGCAGCUAACGUCUUGUAUCUUAAUGGUACUUUAGUACAUAGGGCUUCUGAAGAGAUUCCGUUAUCAUUUAAGAAAUUUGGAGAAAAAAUAGACUAUCCCAGACGCUCAAUAAAUAUUAUGCAGUUAGGCAAGUUGUCUAGCGGAUUAACGUCUAGCUGUAUACUGGUAAGGCGGGCAAAACAUAUACGGAGUCUAUAAAUUAGUUAUUCAAUACAUUCAUAAUAAAGAAUUAUAUUAAUGUUUUUUAAUGUUAGAGUUCUAGUUUUAAAAGUGAAACUUUACCCAACCGUGCGGUGGGAUUUUACGGAAGUUACCGCGAUCCCACCUGCAGCAACUUUUAAACUAUGUACAAUAUAUGCUUUUCUACGACUAAUCUGAUAAAAGCACGUUAACAGUGAGUUAGUUUUCGCAAUACAUUAAACCAACAUUAUUUUCAAAGCAGUAAUGAGAAGAAAGUUUUUCAUUUUCAUAUCUCUAAAGAAGACAUUGAAACUAAUAGACAAAAUAUUCUAUUCAUAAAUGAUGAUAAAAACGAACAAUGAGAGUGUUCUUUGUUCGGGAGCUAUAUCUAUUCGGUUCAUGGUAACGUAUAUUAUUCAUACAUUAUUCGUUCAAUAGUUAUAUUUACUUUGAUUUGAUAAUUGCCGCUCAUACAGUGCUUUCAUGCCAAAGCCAACAAAUCUAAAUAUAUUUUUUAAUAUACUUCUACUUAGACAUGCAGGGAAACUUGAAUUUCAUAUUUGUUAGAGUUUUUUCAAAAUACCAUACAGCCAUAGCAUAGGCCUUUCAUAUUAACUCCUUCCUUAGUCCCUUUGGCAGUAGACAGUCAAUUCAGUUUAUUGAUAAUAUCAAUAAGAAUUAUCAAGAUUGAGUUGGGUAAGAUCUGAUAUCCUCGGAUGGGACCUAUACUAUAGUAUAUUGUUGAAAUAAUCAUAUAUAAUAUAUGGAAAAGGAGGGUAAGUUGGGGAACUUAAGGCUAAUAUCCAAAGUAUGCUCCUUUUUCCAAACUAAAAAUAUUUAUUUAUUGAUAUUUGAAACUCUAUUUGUCACAGUAAUCAACCUACAAAAUCUUACAGCUCUAGCUAAAUACAUUUUUAACACGUUCGUCAUCUUACCUACAAGUGUUUAUAAGCGACAAACUGGAUUUGGUAAGCAGUGGGAAAGGGUGGCAAGAAAAAAAGGACAAGGCCUUUAGUUUUUAUCCAAUUAUUUAUUUGUUCGGCUUUCAAGCAUCAAAAUCUUAUUGGAAUGGCCAUGGUGUUAAUCUAAUAUGAUAUGUCAUAACAAUACAGAUAGAACACGAAAAAACAACAAAAAAUUUACUGCAAAACUAGGUUGUUGUUAGCUUCAUUUGAAGGAUUUUUGCUUAAUUCUAAUUAUAACAAAAGUCCCAUACCCAUACUUAAGCCUUUGCUCCUUUUAAGCUUAGAUCCGUGAAUUUAGAAUAAGCUCAUUUAGAGCACGUGUCACAUCGAAACCAUAACUCGUUUUUGCCUUCUGCAUUGCAAAUGAAACACAUUCUGUCAUCUUCUUCAUUCUCUGGAUCUAUAUCGGUAUCACUGUCAUGAUAAAGUAUUUCUAUUGAACUCUCUGAAGAAAAAAGAUCGAAUAACUGUCGUUUUGUGUUUUGCUUUAUUUAAUUUUUUUAUAAUUUUUUUAAUCUGUAUUUUUUUGGUGGUUUUCAGUUUCUGUGGCCUUAAUUGUUUUUUUGCGUUCUUUGUCUAGUUUUCUUUUUCUUCCAGAGCAUCUUUUAAAAGGAAAGGAUCAAAGAAGGCACUUUUUUCUACGUCUAUUUUUUACGAUUGCAUGAAGUAGCGGAGGUAAUACACUUGUUAUUUCGAUUUUCUUAGUUGGAGUUUGUCGUGGCAACUUCAUCUUGUCAAUUAAGGAAGCAAUGACAAGAUCAAUACCAGUAAUAAUGGUGUGGUGAUGUUUACUCUAGAAGUUGAAGGCACUGGUUCUGGUAUAUGAGCUUCUCCAAUUUCAUGUAAGUUGAGUUGUGGUUGGCGAGAUUCUCCUAUUGCCGUUGAAGUUAAUUCUUUUUCUGUUGUUUUAUACUUCAAAAUCAAGUUAUAUUGAACUGGAAUAUGAUAUUCGCAACUGUUGCCACUUGCGUUAUGCUUCACCAAAAAUGGAGACAAUAUUAGGUAGAGUUAUAGCUUUAUCGGAAUUAUUUAGUAGUCAUCCUAUGCCCAUUCAUACAGCAAAACAUCUAGUGGCUGCAUUCUGACUUUGUGUGAGGUUGAAAUCCGAUGACAGAAAUAACAUUUUCCCCGCACACAAGUUUAUUGCUUCUAAGGUGACGUGAUUGUCCAUUAACAAUAAUAUUCUAUUGUUCUCGCCGGAUCUUGCAUGCUGAUGAACCCGUUUCAUGUGCAACCUCAACGAAUCCAGGUGGCGUGUUGGCCAUACUCAACAAUCCAGGUGCUGGUUGCAUUCUCACUCUUGGAAAAAUCAAAAAUGGUGAUAUUAAAUACAUACGGGCAUUCAUGCAACAGAUCACUGUUAUAUUCAUACCUAUUUCUACCGAUGACACUUUUACAACUCGAUGUUGAUGUCGCUUAUUGACGUUGAUCACUUUAGGAUGCUUAGUAGCAACAGUAGAAAUACCGGUUUCAUCGAGGUUAUAAAUUUAGUUUGAUGUAAAAUUGUACCUUUCUCUAAUGUCCUUUAAUGCAAUGAAGAACUGAGCAAGAUUUUGCUGAUUGAUAGCCAUAAGCUUUAAAAAGCCAAAAGUUUUGCAAUGAACGUUAAUGGCGUUCCUAGUAACCACUUGUAUUUUCUCAUAAACCACUCAACAAAAUAUCGACCUGCUUUCUUUGGAGAAGAGAGGGCGAAGACUAAAUUAGAUUUUUUUUACUUCAACUGGGAUUCCAGCCAGGAUCUUUGAUACGAAUCCCAGUUUCUAGGCCAUAACUUAUUUUUUUUAAUUUUAUAACUAUAACUGACGAUCUAUGUCCGGCAGAAAACCAAUUAGUUGUGUCAAAACAGAUGUUUUGACAGAGUCGCCAUUUUAUCAAGCGUUGCCACAGCUUUAUUUUGGCCAAUUGGUCAUCUACCUACUUCGUCAACUUGCCCUCCUUUCCUCUAAACCUGGUAUAAUCGUAAAAUUAUACAAGGUAAGUGCGAUAUAAGUAAUUAUUUCACCAGAUUAUAGUAAUUUUUGCUGCUUUUUCGAUUUAAUAAAAGAAUUAGGACUUUAUUAUACAGAGCAUUAACUCGAAUACACUCUUAUGUACAGUUAUAAGAGUGCAAACCAUUAAUCUGUUGGUAAAGGCUUGAUGAACCGAGUCUACGAACUACCGAACCUAUCCUAUGUUCUGCAAAUAUUUAGUAUUGAGAGAAGUUAAUUUAUUUUAGUUGUAUAUUCGUUUGAUUAAUAAACACAUUUCCAAAAGUGUUGGUCCUUCAGGGUUUAAAUAAAAAUAAAAGAAUUAAAUUUUCAAAAUAUAUUGCAUUUUAUUCUUUAUUCGGUUAACAGCAUAAGGUGACAAAUAAUGUUUUAAUUUUUUUAUCAAAUAUGGCAGAACAAUGCAAGAAAAAUGUGUUGAAAAUGAAAAAAAUUAUUUGAAAACAUAACUUUAGAAGUCUAUGUUAUUGUCUCUUCUUUCAAUCAAUAGACCAUAAGCGUCUCGGAAUUCUACGAAUCAAGUUGUUGAUGAAAUUCUUUGGCAUACUGUUCCACUUUUCUUGAGCACCUCCCUCAAGUCCUGAAACUUCAAAGGAGGAUUGUCUUAAUUGAAUAUUACUCUACCAAAAUAAUCCCAUACUCCCAUGUUCAAUGGAAUUCAUGUCUGGAUAUUGCCUUCCCGUAACAAGUUUUCUACCCUUUGAGUACGGUGUAUUUUGGCAUUGUUUUCUUGAAAAAUGAAAUGAUUCCGAAAUUCGUUACGCAAAGGUUGAAAUAUUGCUUCAACAAUGUUAUCGACGUAUGUAGCACGUGUCGUUAUUUCUUCUUUGAGGAUAAGUGCGGUACGGCGACGAUACAUUAUACGCCCCCAAAACAUCAGUGUUAUUUCCGUGGUCGUUCCAUCAGAUUCUUUUUUGUCAAAUCACUGUAUUAACCAAAUAGUGACUCGUCCGAAAAUAAUACACUGCGCCAUUGGCGUAAAAGCCAAUGCUGGUGCUCAGCAGCCCGUCUUGCUUUAUGUUCAGGUGUAAGUCUACUCACCCUUAAAUGACUUCUUGCCCUUAGAUUUAAAGAAUGAAACCUUCGUAGGGUACUUGUCAAAACCACUCUACGGUAUGUACGCAAAAAAUGACUUUGAACAGCUGCUGCUAUUAUCGUUCGGAUUCUCCGGGGGAAAUUAACCAUCUUCCUCUGAUGUCAUUUUAGGUCGACCACUGACCAGCCUUCGCGCAACGUUACCAAUUUCCUGAAAAAGGAUGACUAUGUGCCUUAUUAAAGUCCUUGGAAUAUUCAAAGGAUGCUGAAUCUGGUGAUUUGAUAAACCUUCUUGCGGUAAGGCAACUAUUCUUGCCGAUCAAACUAAGAAAUCAAAUUGUCUAAAUAUAUCGAUACUUUAUCACUCGAAAUCAGUUUAUAACUCCUUAAUUUUAUAAAUUCUUUCAUAUCGUCCACCUAAAACAAUUUUUUACCACAUACCUUGUUCUUUACCUUUAUACUAAGAUAAAAAGAUAUUCAUAUACAAAUUAUGACUACCUUAAAUUAAAUACGGCAAACUUUAGCAAGGGAAGCCAAGACUUUUGGAGAUGUAUAUUUAUUUUCUGCUUAAAAUGUAAUUAGAACAGAACAUAAAUGUGUCCAUUAUAGCUUUCUAAUAAUUGGAGAUUCUUAAUAAUUGGAGAAGGUCAGAACUCGUCAGAAAGCGAUUAUUAGGCAACGUUGCGAAUGAUUCUACAAUUAGUACAUAAUUACAAGAUCAAACGAACUUACCUGUGAUGUUCGAUCUUGAUUAUAUUCGGCCUCGUCUCGUAAAUAAGAGUCUAUGUAGUACCUUCCGUUUUUGGGCGCUAUCCAUCACAAAUUUUAAAGUAAACAUGCCCUCCUCACUACACCGCCCGUCCGGGGCCCUCGCGUCGUCAGGGAUUAGUCUUUAUUAUCCCAAGAAUCUUUUCUUUUUUCUUGCAAAAUUUAAUAGGGUGGGUGUGAUGGGAGGAUCCUUAUUUACUUCGACGGAGCCUUCAUAUAAUUAAGAUCGAACAUCACAGGUAAAUUCGUUUGAUCUUGUAAUUAUAUUCGGCCUCGUUUCGUAAAUAAGAGUCUAUGUUGAUAUUUAGAGAAAGUUGCAGGGAAAAGGAAAAGAUAUAAAUAAAUAACAGAUUAAACACAAUCUAACAGAACUCAAAACACAAUUUUAAUGAUAGAAAACCGUAAAAAGCAGAUAAACAAAUCUUAAAUGUAAUAACCUAAAAGUAGAACAAGCUCUACUAAACCAAGGUUUAAAACGUAACCUAUAUUAACACACAUAUGAAUAGAAUAAACUAAAUAAUACAAAAAUCUUAUCCACUAGACAGGAACCGCCUCAGCAAAAGACAAUUCU